GUUUAUAAUUAUUUUCAUAAUAUCAGACAAUUAAUAGGGUUUAUAAGAGUGCGGGUGGUUUCCUCGCAUUGCUGCAAGAACAAGAACACCCAGAAUAAUUUACAUUUGCACAAGGGGUUGAAGACCGGAACCUAUUGCUAGGCUCUGGCCAAUAACUUUGUAAUGAUCCAACCGCAGGUUCACCUACGGUUA
rnacentral:misc_RNA from 1 species